rnacentral:rRNA from 1 species
UACGUAGGGGGCAAGCGUUGUCCGGAUUUAUUGGGCGUAAAGAGCUCGUAGGCGGUCUGUCGCGUCUGCUGUGAAAACUCGGGGCUUAACCCCGGGCCUGCAGUGGGUACGGGCAGACUAGAGUGCGGUAGGGGAGACUGGAAUUCCUGGUGUAGCGGUGAAAUGCGCAGAUAUCAGGAGGAACACCGGUGGCGAAGGCGGGUCUCUGGGCCGUAACUGACGCUGAGGAGCGAAAGCAUGGGGAGCGAACAGG